rnacentral:rRNA from 1 species
AUGGCACAUAAUAGAGCCCCUGGCCCGUAUAACAUUCCUGUAGAAUUUUAUCAGGUGUGUUGGGAUAUUGUGAAGGAUGAUAUUACGUCUCUCUUUGAACAUUUUCAUAAAGGGGAUCUAGAUGUUCAACGCCUUAAUUAUGGUGUGAUUACCCUUCUUCUUAAACCGCAGGUGCAGACAAGAUCCAACAGUUCCAACCCAUUUGCCUCUUGA